rnacentral:pre_miRNA from 1 species
GGGACACCCCUAUGGGAUAGGGCUUGUUUCAGUGGGGCUUUGGUGCUCACUGAGUCUGCCCCUUGAGUGUGUCAUU